rnacentral:ncRNA from 2 species
UUUUCGCACUCUGGAGAGCGGCAGUAGCCAUCCGCGUCGCACAUCGUGCACCGCAGGCAGGCUGCCCACCGAAGGGGCGCGCGUUCACCGUGACUGAUCAAAGUCACGGCAGCGCAAUCUCUCAGGUAUCGAGGACAGAGGGGUCAUG